GUACACACCGCCCGUCGCUGCUACCGAUUGCAUGGUCAAGUGAGUGUUGUGGAGUUGGGGCGUUGAGCCUUGAAAUAAGCAAUCCAAACUUGGGUAUGUAGAGGAAGCAAAAGUCGUAACAAGGUCUCCGUAGGUAACCUGCAGAAGGAUCA
rnacentral:rRNA from 1 species